GACAUGUUGACUCACUGCUGCUGCUCAACUAGAAAGACUCAGGCAAACUAAGAUCUGUGUGAAUGUUACAACUUUCAGAUUCUUCUAAAAUGUAUUUUAUUUUUGUACCAUGUUGUAUAGAAUCACUGUAUGUCACUGGUUAUCUUUUAAUUGACUUGUACUGAUGUCUGUAAACUGUGACAUAAUUACACUACAAGGAAUACACUUCUUCAGCUGCUCUUUAGUUCCUGGAUAAAAACAGCACAAAGGAAUUUUCUGGAAGUAUUGGCAGUCAUCCAUUCAUCAUUGGGACAGAGGUCACUGUUCCAGUCAGGCAACAUAGCAUCUUGCCUGGGGUUUGCAGAGAAAAGCCAGACCAGGAGGAGCAGAGUCAGCAGGACUCAACUACCAACCAUGACAGGGGAAGUGAGCAGCUUCCCCCACAGCUGUGCGUCUCGUGUUGUCUCUGUAAACCUCAAAGUUGGCAUUGGGAAAGCUUUCUUUAAGAUGACAGACUGCUCUUUUCCUUUGUCUCGCCUGUGUUUCCUGGCCCAUGUCUGCAUCAGUUUUGCCCUCAGUUUGAGGUGGUGGCGGCAUGACCCUGCCAUACAGUGGAACCACUCAGUCACCACCAAACUGUCACUCAGUUCCUGGCAGAAAAGACUUCACACCCAUAAUCCUGUAAUCUUUUCCUCCAACAAGGACUCCAUUUCACUUGAAGAGGUUGAAAUGAAUAGCUUUUGUCAUUUGGAAUUUGAGCACAUCUGGAUGAAUUUUUAGUUUAAAAAAAAAUCAGGCCAUAAAAAAAGUCAACAAUAUUCCUGUUUUGAGGACAAAUGUGAUUUAAUUAUAUCAAACAUAUGUUAGAAAGCUUGGCUCACUCUUAUUUUUCCAUCCUGCUGAAGGUGACAAAGAUAGCUGAGCUACUUCGUACUCUGCUUCAUGCUGAUCAGAUAAGGCAGGUGAUACAGACUCAGGGCUAGUUCUGGCUGCAAGGCAUUUUAAAGAUCCAACAGAAAGAAAGCAAAGAAAGCUCUAAAACAUCACUGGCAGUUUAUUUUUACUUAAACUUUAACAAAUUUAGACCUUUUUUAAAAGACAGUCUCUCCAAACCUUCCUUUGGAGACUACAAACCCAAAGCCCGAACCCAGGGAAGCUCACCCCUGAACCUCCCAUAUAAAAGAGAAACCUCAUGACUGAACUUUUUACUCAAAUUUCACAGUUCUAGAGUGAUAUGUCUAAGGAACAAAUCGGCUUCAUACCCCAGUGAAAUCUUUGGUAGAUAGAAAAUAUUCCCUGAUGGCUCAAUCAAUAAAGAAUCCACCUAUAAUGCAGGAGAUCCAGGUAUGAUCCCUCAGGCAGGAAGAUCCACUGGAUGAGGAAAUGGCAACACACUCCUGUAUUCUUGCCUGGAAAAUUCCAUGUUCAUGGGGUCCCAAAGAGUUAGACGAGACUGAACAACUAACACUUUCACUUUACUUUCACUUUUUCUCCAUUAGUGCUUCUAUAAUCAUUCACCAAAUCUAAUCAACUUUCCUUCCUAUAUGAUUGUCAUAUUUAUUUGCUCCUCUUCAUUCCCAUUUGUUCAAGGCUCUAUCAUUUCUCAACUGAGUAACUG
ensembl:lncRNA